CUUCCAAAGGACAAUUCGGCAACAGAGACAGAGACAGGGAGACCGUCCGUCCCUCCCCAACCCAACCACGGGCCUCCUCUCAGCCGGACUCCCACAGGUGUAGACUGGAACUGUUGGAGAAGUUGUCCGUAAGCAAGGAGAAGUUGACCUCCAGUUCAGGGGAAUCAAGUAAAAUGGCGUUGGGUUCUGGAAACUCGACCUUCCAAGGAGAGCUGAAAGAGGGGAAAACAGCCGAGUAAGGGAGAAGGGUGCUUUUGCCUGAAGUUUGGAGACUCCUACCAUUCCAUCGGGCUUCACUGAUGGACAGUUUUCUAUCUGUAAAACGUUCUCUGUUCCUGGAUUAAACAUGCUACAAAAACUCCAACCAUUGAGGGCAAGCUCAGGUCAAGUCUGCCUCGAAGGCCGCAUGGGAUGAAACAAAAUUGCCUCUUGUUUUGUGUCACUCCUGAGCAUGAUUCAUUCUGUCUUGUAAGUUCUCCCUGAAGGACUAAAGAAACCUACAGAAGGACUCUCUCUGGAAAUCCCCCCGGGUUUGGAGAGGAGACACGUAUGCACCUGUCCCUGAUUGAGGGGAGAAUGGCCAAGCUGCCAGAAGGUGGGCUUCUGCUGGGAGAAGGGCGUGUUAUG